GAUGAACGCUGGCGGCGUGCAUAACACAUUCAAGUCGAACGGUGACGGAAACUUCGGUUUCCUGAUCAGUGGCGGACGGGUGAGUAACGCGUGAGCAACCUGCCCUAUAUUGCGGGAUAACAACCGGAAACAGUUGCUAAUACCGCAUGACGUAUUCGGAUCGCAUGUUCUGAAUACCAAAGAAUUUUGAUAUAGGAUGGGCUCGCGUCCGAUUAGGCAGUUGGUGGGGUAACGGCCCACCAAACCGACGAUCGGUAGCCGAACUGAGAGGUUGAACGGCCACAUUGGAACUGAGAUACGGUCCAGACUCCUACGGGAGGCAGCAGUGGGGAAUAUUGGGCAAUGGGGGAAACCCUGACCCAGCAACGCCGCGUGAAGGAGGAAGGCCUCGGUUGUAAACGUUACUUUUACCUAGGACGAAGAACGUAGACGGUACCGUCGGAGAAAAGACAACGGACGUAACUAACGUG
rnacentral:rRNA from 1 species